UAAAAUAGUUUUUCUACUGGCUUUUUCAAGAUUUUUUUCUUUAUAUUUAUUUCUGUCACUUAAAAAUGAAAUGAUAUGCCUGGGUGUAGUGUGUGUGUGUGUUUUGGUCAUUUAUAUUGUUUGGUAUUUUGUAAGAUUCCUGAAUUUGUGGAUUGAUGUCUGAUAUUAGUUUGAGGGAAUUUCACAAUCAUUAUUGCUUCAAGUAUUUCUUUUCAUCCCUUUUCUCUUCUUUUUUUUUUUUUUUGGUAUUUCCAUUAUGUAUAUUUUGCACAUUUUGUGCUUUUACCAACGUUCUUUGAUAUCUGUGUUCUUUUCUGUCUUAUUUUGCUUUUUCCUUUCAGUUUUGGAGGUUUUUAAUUAAUAUAUGCUCAAGCUCAAAUAUUCUUUCCUUAUUUAUGUCCAAUCUACUAAUAAGCCCAUCAAAGAUAUUCUUCAUUUCUAUUAUAAUGUAAUUUUUAAAUUACUUGUAAUUCUUUUUGUCUCUUAAAACUUUCAUAGCUGUGCUUAUAUUGCUCAAAUGUUUUUGAAUACUAUUUAUAUGUAAGAGACCUUGACAUAUGAGUCAUGGUUGUUUUAAGUUCUUGGUCUGAUCACUCCACCAUCCCUGGCAUUUUGAAUUCUGGUGUGGAUGCUGGUGAGCCUCUUUAAAUUGCUCUUUGCUUUUUAUAUGCCUUGUGAUUUUUUCACUUAUAGCUGGAUAUACUUGAUAAAAGGACUGUUGUAAAUAGGUGUUUAGUAAUUUGGUGGUGUGUGUGUAGAAAGAGUAAAACAUUCUGGAGUCCUAUGAUUAAGUCUCAAUCUUUUAGUAACCAUUGGUCUCUGCAUUUUGAACUUUCACAAGUGCUUCUCAUUUGUUAAUUUUACCCCCACUGAGGUGGGACAGGACGGCUAGGGUGGGAUGGAAGUAGGCAUUUCCUUUUUUCUAGAUCAGUUAAGCUACAAUAAAACCCCAGACUCUGGUUAAAUAGUUUCCGCUGAGGACAGACCUUACUAAGAAUAGAGUGCCCUGGUAGGUUUCAUAAUGGUUCCUUUUUCCUGUCCCCCAGCUGGAAGCUGGAGGAGAUUUUUCUGUGACAUUCACUGGGAGACUCUUGUAGAAUUUCGGGAGGUAUAAUUCACAAAAGGGUGGGAGGGCCCUCAAUAACUGGGUGCCCUGGAGUUUUUAAUUUCUCAUAUUCUCUAUGUUGAGUCUCCAGCAUUUUAUCAAUUCCAGAUCAGGUUUCUCUGCCCUGGCACUGAUUCCCAUGAAUGUUUCUGCUUAUUGGUUUCUGCUCUGGGAGGCUUCAUUACACGGUCAAGAUGGAUUAAACCUUUGGAAACCAACAUUCAACCCUUUUUUUCCCUUGAUGGAGGAAACAGAAACGAGAGCCAAAAAUGAGUCUGAAAAAUUCCUCCUUAAUUAAUCCUUAAUUCAAGCAGAGGAUUUGAAUCUACAAAAGAAACCAAAUAUCUUUCCUGAGAUAAAGAUGAAGACCAAAAAGAAAAGGAGGAAAAGGAAGAAGAAGGAGGAGAAAGAAAUUUGAAGUAACAGAAGUUAAAAGAAGAACAUUUUGCAAAGGAGGAAAUGAUCUCUUCUGGGGUUAAUACUCUCAACAGUUUUAGUAAGGAUCACGGGAAAUUUACAUGGAUCUGUGUUUCACGGUACCUGACAUAAAUCAUUGGUGACCUGGAGAAGAACAUUUUCAGUAGACGUAGACCAGUUUGGAACCAGUGUGGGAUAGACUGAAUUAUGAGUGGAAAGUGAAGAAGUGGCACUGUCUCUUUAGAUACUUUCUUUAAAAUCUUGGUAAUGUAUAAUAAAGAAAUGCAGUGGGAAUUAAAGGAAAAUAUGGGGCAAAAGAACGAUAACGUUUGGGCUUUUGCUACCUGAUAAUUUCUAUUCAUUACACAUUUGUCAGAGAAAAAUGCAUCGUUUUAAAAGGUAAGGGCUUUUGAAGUUAGACAGCUAGACCAGAUCUUGAACAAGACAUUUAACUAUACUAAACACCAGGUUUUUUAUCUGUCAUGUGUAUGUCCUGUCUACUUCACGGUUUCUUGAGAGGAUUAAAUGGGAGAACCUGUGUGGAACAUUUAGCACAGACUUUGAUUAGCAGUAAAUGCUCAUUAAAAUUUGCUUCUCUCUUUUAAUAUGUUUUAUUUAAAUUAUGUUAUUAUUUCCCUCCAGUUUAACAUGGCAAGUAACUGGUCAAACCAAAAUUCACCCCAAGAUAAAUUUAGAAGAAUCUCUCUCUGUGGUUAAAGUAAGUAACUUUUAAUUGUAUUUUCAGAAAACAAAUUAUUUUCUCCAUUUAUUUUUUGUUUGUUUUGUUUUAGGUUUUUUUUUUUUUUUUUUUUUUUUUUGUCUGCAAAAUGUUUUCUAUAUUCCUAAUCAUGGCUUACAGGAUACAGGAUUUGGGACAAUUGUUUUGAACAUAGAGGUUCAGUCUUGAAAAAAGGUUGAAGUACUUCUACAGAUUACCACUAGAGGACAGAAGAGAGUCAGACACUUUCUGAGAAGAAAUAUACUCUGGGACUAGUUGUCUUUGAUGCUGAGACCUGCUUCCCUACUAUGGGAAACUCAGAUACCAGAGACAAAUAAAUAAAUAAAUUAAAUUAAAUUUGUUUUGCUUAAGCUCAUUAUUUUUAAGUUAUAUAAUGCAGCAGAAAUUUUUCCCUGAGCCAAAGUUUGUUUUCAUCUCAAAGGUUAUAAGAGAACAAUCUUCAUUUUAUUAUUCUGCACUUAUAUUCCUAUUAUAGCUCUCAGCUCAGCAUUAUAUUAUUUGUAUUUGUUACCAUGCUUGUCAUCAACCACUAUUAAAUGUAAAAUUUUUGAAGGCUAGGGCUACGUCUUGCUUGGGCAGUUUUUUAGUUUAGCAAACUCUCCAGAGAUUCCAUUUCAACAUUCAUCAUCAUCAAGGAGAAAGACAAGAGCAAGAUAGUCCCAAAUUAAUGAUUAGAAAAUCAGAGAUAAAAAUAAGGGGCAUUCACAUACCUCUUUACAUUUUAUGGGCUCAGGUGUGUGAAAAAGCCAAGAUCAAAGGCAGAAAAAUCAGUGGUUGUGUAUUUAAAGUGUAGUCUCUUGAAGAAGGAAAUAUUUAUUCAGUGUGUAAUGUGUCAGUGUUACAUGCCUUGAUGUGCAUUAUUUAAUUUAUUAAUCUCAAUAACUUGGUCAGAUAUCUCACUUCAUUUUACAAGUGAGGAAACUGACAUAAAAAUGUUUAGCAAGUCACCUAAUAUCUCAGAACUAAUAUAUAUUACAGCUGUUAAAGAAAUGUCACACCAGAAAACAAUGAGAAAAUAGAAAUUGAUUCAUUUUCUAACACUACUGCCAGUAAUAGGGGAGAAAGUAUAGACCAAGCCCCAUCUUACAAGGGUGAUAUGAGAAUAUAUGGAUUAUGAAAUUAAGAAAAUCACUUUUUAAAUAUCACCAUUUUUUUCUAACCUAGACAAUAUGAGGUUGCAUUUCUGUAAUAUGUUGAAUGAGAAGAGAAUCACUAAAUUACCAGUAUGGUAAAUAAGCAAAGAAUAAAGCAAAAAAAAAAAACAAUUAUUUUCAAAUUAUUACCUCCAAACAUGUGUACAUAACUUUACAUUAACUCUCUUUUUGUGAAAUAAACUAUAAUUUCUAACAUCAUUAUGCACUAAUAUAAAACAUUUUAACAUUAUUUAGAAGGUGAAAAUUUAGAAAUAUUUUAAGUACUCAAAACUUGGAAAUUUUCCAAGACGUCAGGAUACUCUACACUAUAGAGCUAUUAUUGAUACUUGAUUAUUGAAUAUAACCACAUAAAAGAUUACUCAGUGACAAACAGUACAGAAUCAGAACCGAAGUUCGAGUAGUGGUCUCUCCACUACUUUUUUAUUUCUUUUAUUUUUAUUUCCUUAUCUUCCAUGAUCAUUAAAAUCUUUCUCAAUAAGAAAAAUCCAUAAUUUUGAAAAUAAACCAUAUAGAUGCCAUACAGUUUAAAUACAUUUCCCUAUGUUUCUGUUUCCAGGACAGGACUCUCCCAUGUCUCCUGGUACAGAUGCCUCUGGAUUUUCUACUAUAUUAUAAUUAAAUUCUUAGAGUAGAUUUAAAGCUGUAUUUUGAGAAAAAUCCUAGAAGCAAUCCCAUGACAUUAUUAAGCAUAACUGGCUUGUUACAAUGUCUAACUGGACAAAGAGGUAACACUCUUAGAUUUUAUAACAUUGUAUCUUCUCUCUGAGGAUACAUAUCUGAACUUUAGAAAAUAUAAACCAUCCUUCAUUAUUCUAGAAGACUUUUGCCAUGAACUGCCUAAAAUCAGUACUAAUCAAACAUGUAUUGAAAAAGUUGUGAGCAGAGAAUGCUUUUAUAAACAUGCCAGGGGAAGACUGGGAUGGGGUGUAGUUUGGAGAGAGAAGAAAGAUUUUACUCUGUUACUCAAUAUCUUUUAUGAAAAUAUCUAUGGUGAAUGGUAUCUACAGGAUAUCCAGAUUCUGAAACUAUUCUCCUCAUGUGACUACAGUGUCAUAAAUGGGAAAUGGACAUAUGGCCUAUGGAAUAAAGUUUUACCUUUUUGACAAGA